AACGAACGCUGGCGGCAGGCCUAACACAUGCAAGUCGAGCGAGACCUUCGGGUCUAGCGGCGGACGGGUGAGUAACGCGUGGGAACGUGCCCUUUUCUACGGAAUAGCCUCGGGAAACUGAGCGUAAUACCGUAUACGCCCUUUGGGGGAAAGAUUUAUCGGAGAAGGAUCGGCCCGCGUUGGAUUAGGUAGUUGGUGGGGUAAUGGCCUACCAAGCCUACGAUCCAUAGCUGGUUUGAGAGGAUGAUCAGCCACACUGGGACUGAGACACGGCCCAGACUCCUGCGGGAGGCAGCAGUGGGGAAUCUUAGACAAUGGGGGCAACCCUGAUCUAGCCAUGCCGCGUGAGUGAUGAAGGCCUUAGGGUUGUAAAGCUCUUUCAGCUGGGAAGAUAAUGACGGUACCAGCAGAAGAAGCCCCGGCUAACUCCGUG
rnacentral:rRNA from 1 species